rnacentral:rRNA from 1 species
UACGAAGGGGGCUAGCGUUGUUCGGAAUUACUGGGCGUAAAGGGCUCGUAGGCGGCCAACUAAGUCCGACGUGAAAUCCCCAGGCUUAACCUGGGAACUGCGUCGGAUACUGGAUGGCUUGAAUUCGGGAGAGGGAUGCAGAAUUCCACGUGUAGCAGUGAAAUGCGUAGAGAUGUGGAGGAACACCGAUGGCGAAGGCAGCCCCCUGGGUCAAGAUUGACGCUCAUGCACGAAAGCGUGGGGAGCAAACAGG